rnacentral:rRNA from 1 species
AUGGGCAAACUGCCUCACGUACAUGGGUGGAGAACCACCAUCAGAACGAAAAGGUCCAAAAUUGCCUCCGCCGCCGAUGACACCACCACCACCGCAUCAACCGCUACCACCAUAUCCUCCCUCGGCCAAGACCUACUCCUCGACAUCUUCCUCCGCCUCCCGAACCUGCGGGACCUCGUCCGCGCGGCGCUCACCUGCCGCACAUGGCUCCGCGCCGUCCGCUCCUCCCCGUCCUUCCGCCGCCUCUUCCGCACCCUUCACCCGGUGCCCCUCAUCGGGCUCUUCAUCGACAUCGACGGCGCCGCCGCCCCCUCCUUUGUCCCCUUGCGCCGCUCAUACCCCGACGUCAUCGCCGCCGUCCGCCGCGGCGACUUCCUCCUCACUUCCCUCCCAGUGAAUGACGACGAGGAUACGAGCUGGGGUAUCACGGAUUGCCGCGACGGUUACGCCCUCCUAUGGAACAGGAUGGAUAAGCCGACCGUCGUCGCUGCCGUGAACCCCAUGACCUGGGCCGUGGACAUCAUCCCGUUGCCACGCGAUGUCAGAGCUGGGAGAAGUGGAAGACGCCGCGAAUUCGGCUUCCUUGGUUUCCGUAUCCUGUAUUCCGAGGAGAACCCCCGGUCAUUCGGAGCGGUCUGCGUCUGCGCUGACAAGCAAAGAGUUCGUUUCGCCGUCUUCUCGUCGGAGACCAUCGAGUUUGAGUUACUGGUUGAUGGGUGUUUUGAUGGCUCUGUCUGUCCGUAUGUUAUGGCCUGGUCUUCUGUUUGGUUGGUGAUGAUGGGAGCAUUGGACAUGAAGUUGAAGCUUCUCACCGAAUCCUGCAGUUGUUUGUGGUACGAUGAAAUGAAUGGAAAUAUGUGGGUAUGA